ACUGGAGCAGCGGAGUGGGCAGGAAUCCAACUGAUUGACGUUCUCUCCGAGUUGGCUUCUGGAGUCAUAUUUUCUUGGUCAUGGCUACUUCUGAUAUUCAACUAAAGGAACCAGAAAAGCAUGCUUCUGGGCAAGCAUUUGAGCUGAUACUCAGUCCCUGCUCAAAAGAAGCAGUCCCAGAAUUCCCUCUUUCUCCCCCAAAGAAGAAGAACGUGUCAUUGGAGGAGAUUCAGAAGAAGCUGGAAGCAGCAGAAGAGAGACACAAGUCUCAUGAAGCAGAAGUCUGGAAGCAGCUAGCUGAGAAGCGGGAGCAUGAAAAAGAGGUGCUUCAGAAAGCGAUUGAAGAAAACAACUUCAGCAAAAUGGCAAAGGAGAAGCUGACCCACAAAAUGGAAGCUAACAAUGAAAACUGUGAGGCACAAAUGGUGGCUAAACUGGAACGCUUGAGGGAGGAGGACAAGCACAUUGAAGAGGUUCCAAAGAACAAAGGCAAAGACCCCAGUGAGGCUGAACCCGACUGACUUCAUUCUGGAAACUGACUCUCUCCCCCUCCUCUAAAUAUCCAAAGACUGUACUGG